rnacentral:rRNA from 1 species
GGUUUCCUACGGGGGGCAGCAGUGAGGAAUAUUGGUCAAUGGGCUUACGCCUGAACCAGCCAAGUCGCGUGAGGGAAGACUGCCCGAUGGGUUGUAAACCUCUUUUGUCAGGGAGCAACGCCGGCUACGUGUAGCCGGACUGAGAGUACCUGAAGAAAAAGCAUCGGCUAACUCCGUACCAGCAGCCGCGGUAAUACGGAGGAUGCGAGCGUUAUCCGGCUUUAUUGGGUUUAAAGGGUGCGUAGGCGGAAUGCCAAGUCAGCGGUAAAAUAGCGGGGCUCAACCUCGCUCAGCCGUUGAAACUG